CUUUUUCUUUAAAGUAAAUAUAGCAAUCCAAAAAGGAAUUAAAUACUAACCUUCCAAAAUGCUACCAUAGGCUAAUGUGCAAAAGCAAUCUGUGUAGACAGCAGCAACGGAAGCUUUUAUGGCCUGCUUCUCUUCCUCCAGAUCUGAACGUGCAGCUAUUUUAGAGACUGAUCACAAUGUCACUUCAAGCCUUUGCAACUCUUCUGGCACCAGAGAGAGAAGCUAAUGUGACUCAUUCCGGAGAAGCUCAAAAUACUCCUAUUUAAAAGUCAGAUGCAGACUUACUACAGUGGUGCAUUCCAGAAUGUCAACAGGAAACUCAUUUGCCAUGAAUUACGAGAAGCAGAACUGGAAGAAGAGCAAGGUGUUUUUCAAAAUCAUGCACUGACCAGAGAGGACCAUAAGCAAACACGCUUCCCAACCAUUGAUUAUUAUCACAAUUCCUUCAGUAGUGAAAACUCUUGUUACCUGAUAAUAGUCUUGAAGAAAUUUUGGACAGAGCAAGGAAGACCCAAAACCUGAUGGAAUCAUUCUUUCUCCCCCAUUUCAAAAUUCCCUAUGGACAGACCAGAUGGUCAAGCUUCUAUGGCUCUUCCUGACUUUGAAGACAGUCACCAUCCUUGACUGCUGACCUUUUGAGGUGAGUAGUAAGGCAGGAUUAUGUCUCAGCAGUGAUUUUUGUUUGUUUUUCUCAUACCAACAACACACUAAUAAUUAAUGACUGCUCCACAGUUAGAAAGGGCAUACCUGCUGUACCCAAUGAAUUUGAUCCCAUUGAACUC
rnacentral:lncRNA from 1 species